CAUGCACCCUAGUUUAAAUCUUUUAUCUCGUUUUCUCGAUUUUUCGUUUAUUCGGCGGCCGCCCAAGGCGUCGCGUGCGACGCCGGUCAGCCGCUUACGUCAAUAAACGCUCCGAUGGCUCCUCGUAAUUUCCCUCUUGAAAUCGAAAUAAAAUCCCCAAAAUGAUAAAAGUGUAUAAUUAAAUUAUCGCAAGCAUUUUCCCCUCGAACUAUAUUUAUUUCGGACUUAGGAUAUAAUUAUUCAUUCGUUGAAAUAUUCCGGAAUUAAUUAAAUAAUUCGUCACUAUUAAUUAUCAGCCCAAAGAUUUAAUUAAAAAGCCCAACUCACCACCUUAUAUCUCAAACUAAAAUUUUAGAGCCCAAAGCAAUUUAAAUGAAGCCCAAACUAAAUAAAUCAUCCAAUUUAAUUUGUAAUGCCCCAUUUCUUUUUUAAAAAAACAAAAGGCCCAACUCUAUCCUUCCACCAUCUAUCGGCCUUCACUCCCUUCUCCCCUUUCUCUUUUUUUUUUUCAAUUGAAACAUAACCCUAAUUGACGAAGAACUCAAAUUCCGUCGUCUUACCCAACCUCACAUCCCGAAUUGACGGCCAAUACCUCCUCCGUCGAGGAAUCCAUCGCGACGACCCUCACGCCGGCGGCUGCUACUUACCGAAGGUGAACGGUGCUGCUGUCGCUGCUGUCACGCCGUCGCCGCCGCCGUCAGACGCGCUGCCUCCUGAACUGCUGCCGCUGCUGCUCGUCGUUCGUCCAGCCUUCGCCGGGAGGAGCUGCUGCUGCCGCCAGCCGCUGCCUUCGUCGCCGGGAGGAGCUGCUGCUGCCGCCAGCCGCUGCCAUCGUCGCCGGUUCGCUCAGCUACCCGAACUCGCCCCAAACAGUUCCGAAACUACCCCUACCCAGCCCCGAUUGCUAGCCCGAAAGAUCACGGAGGAGGAAAAUCUCAUCACGAGGA